rnacentral:miRNA from 1 species
UCUGUGGGUCUGUUUGUCCGUC